rnacentral:rRNA from 1 species
UACCAGCACCCCGAGUGGUCGGGACGAUUAUUGGGCCUAAAGCAUCCGUAGCCGGUUUUACAAGUCCUCCGUUAAAUCCACCUGCUUAACAGAUGGGCUGCGGAGGAUACUAUAGAGCUAGGAGGCGGGAGAGGCAAGCGGUACUUAGUGGGUAGGGGUAAAAUCCGUUGAUCCAUUGAAGACCACCAGUGGCGAAGGCGGCUUGCCAGAACGCGCUCGACGGUGAGGGAUGAAAGCUGGGGGAGCAAACCGG